GGGGAAUUUUCCGCAAUGGGCGAAAGCCUGACGGAGCAAGACCGCGUGAGGGAGGAAGGCUCUAGGGUUGUAAACCUCUUUUCUCAGGGAAGAAGCUCUGACGGUACCUGAGGAAUCAGCAUCGGCUAACUCCGUGCCAGCAGCCGCGGUAAUACGGAGGAUGCAAGCGUUAUCCGGAAUCAUUGGGCGUAAAGCGUCCGCAGGUGGAAGUUCAAGUCGAUUGUCAAAGGCAGUAGCUUAACUACUGACAGGCAGUGGAAACUGAACGACUAGAGUGCGGUAGGGGUAGAGGGAAUUCCCGGUGUAGCGGUGAAAUGCGUAGAGCUCGGGAAGAACACCAGUGGCGAAAGCGCUCUGCUGGACCAGCACUGACACUGAGGGACGAAAGCUAGGGGAGCGAAUGGGAUUAGAUACCCCAGUAGUCCUAGCCGUAAACGAUGGAGACUAGGUGUGGCAAGUAUCGACCCUUGCCGUGCCCCAGCUAACGCGUUAAGUCUCCCGCCUGGCGAGUACGCACGCACGUGUGAAACUCAAAGGAAUUGACGGGGGCCCGCACAAGCGGUGGAGUAUGUGGUUUUAAUUGGAUGCAACGGAAAGACCCUUACCAGGGCUUGACAUGUCGGGAAUCCCCUUGAAAGAGGGGAGUGCUUAAGGGAGCGGGAACCCAGGUGGUGCAUGGCGGUCUUCAGCUGGUGUCGUGAGAUGUUGGGUUAAGUCCCCCAACGA
rnacentral:rRNA from 1 species